rnacentral:rRNA from 1 species
GACGAAGUGGUUGAUGCCAUGCUUCCAAGAAAAGCUUCUAAGCUUCAGGUAACCAGGAACCGUACCCCAAACCGACACAGGUGGUUGGGUAGAGAAUACCAAGGCGCUUGAGAGAACUCGGGUGAAGGAACUAGGCAAAAUGGCACCGUAACUUCGGGAGAAGGUGCGCCGGUGAGGGUGAAGGACUUGCUCCGUAAGCUCAUGCCGGUCGAAGAUACCAGGCCGCUGCGACUGUUUAUUAAAAACACAGCACUCUGCAAACACGAAAGUGGACGUAUAGGGUGUGACGCCUGCCCGGUGCCGGAAGGUUAAUUGAUGGGGUUAGCUAACGCGAAGCUCUUGAUCGAAGCCCCGGUAAACGGCGGCCGUAACUAUAACGGUCCUAAGGUAGCGAAAUUCCUUGUCGGGUAAGUUCCGACCUGCACGAAUGGCGUAACGAUGGCGGCGCUGUCUCCACCCGAGACUCAGUGAAAUUGAAAUCGCUGUGAAGAUGCAGUGUAUCCGCGGCUAGACGGAAAGACCCCGUGAACCUUUACUAUAGCUUUGCACUGGACUUUGAAUUUGCUUGUGUAGGAUAGGUGGGAGGCUUUGAAGCGUGGACGCCAGUCUGCGUGGAGCCAACCUUGAAAUACCACCCUGGCAACUUUGAGGUUCUAACUCAGGUCCGUUAUCCGGAUCGAGGACAGUGUAUGGUGGGUAGUUUGACUGGGGCGGUCUCCUCCUAAAGAGUAACGGAGGAGUACGAAGGUGCGCUCAGACCGGUCGGAAAUCGGUCGUAGAGUAUAAAGGCAAAAGCGCGCUUGACUGCGAGACAGACACGUCGAGCAGGUACGAAAGUAGGUCUUAGUGAUCCGGUGGUUCUGUAUGGAAGGGCCAUCGCUCAACGGAUAAAAGGUACUCCGGGGAUAACAGGCUGAUACCGCCCAAGAGUUCAUAUCGACGGCGGUGUUUGGCACCUCGAUGUCGGCUCAUCACAUCCUGGGGCUGAAGCCGGUCCCAAGGGUAUGGCUGUUCGCCAUUUAAAGUGGUACGCGAGCUGGGUUUAGAACGUCGUGAGACAGUUCGGUCCCUAUCUGCCGUGGACGUUUGAGAUUUGAGAGGGGCUGCUCCUAGUACGAGAGGACCGGAGUGGACGAACCUCUGGUGUUCCGGUUGUCACGCCAGUGGCAUUGCCGGGUAGCUAUGUUCGGAAUAGAUAACCGCUGAAAGCAUCUAAGCGGGAAACUAGCCUCAAGAUGAGAUCUCACUGGAACCUUGAGUUCCCUGAAGGGCCGUCGAAGACUACGACGUUGAUAGGUUGGGUGUGUAAGCGCUGUGAGGCGUUGAGCUAACCAAUACUAAUUGCCCGUGAGGCUUGACCAU